rnacentral:rRNA from 1 species
ACAGCGAGCACUAUCACGAGCAUCUCUCACGAGGCAUGAUCAUUAAAGAGUUGCAAAACUCCCAAACCAUUGUGAACAUACCUGCGAGCAUGCUUCGGCGGGUUGGCCCCGGUCUCCGGGGUCCCCGGCCCUAUACAGCGAGCAUCCGGAGGUAUCUAACUCUUGAACUUUUAUGGCCUCUCUGAGUCUUUGUACUUAAUAAGUCAAAACUUUCAACAACGGAUCUCUUGGUUCUGGCAUCGAUGAAGAACGCAGCGAAAUGCGAUAAGUAAUGUGAAUUGCAGAAUUCAGUCAUCAUCAGCGAGCAUGAACGCACAUUGCGCCCGCCAGUAUUCUGGCGGGCAUGCCUGUUCGAGCGUCAUUUCAACCAUCAAGCCCCCGGCUUGUUAUCACGAGCAUCGGCUGCCGCAGGCCCUGAAAACCAGUGGCGGGCUCGCUAGUCACUCCGAGCGUAGUAAUACAUCUCGCUCAGGGCGUGCUGCGGGUUCCGGCCGUUAAAAAGCCUUAUACGAGCAGCCUAGACCUCGGAUCAGGUAGGAAGACCCGCUGAACUUAAGCAUAUCAAUAAGCGGAGGAAAAGAAACCAACAGGGAUUGC